GCGUAUUCCUGCCCUAAAAAAACCCCACAAAACCCGACUGCGAACAAGCUGAAAAUUGUCAAAAAGAAGUACUAUUAAAAAGAUUCAUUCUUAGAGAUGUUAACCACGAAAAUGACCUUUCUAGUUAUGUCUAAAAAGCGUGGUAUUAAAUGAUUUUUAAAGUUUUAAAAGAGUAGAGUCCUCGAGUCAAGUCAGCUGGAAUAUAAGAAAGGCACAAAGAUAGAGACAAAUGCUCCUAUGGUUUGUUGUUGAGCUGGCGGACGCAGGUUAAUCUCAGCCAAGAUUGUGAAAACAAGCUGCAGACUCGAAGGCAUGACCCAGGGAGGGAUGUACAUAAGGUAUUAAUGUAGCUCACCAAAAAUAAACAAAAGUAAUAAAAAGAAUAAAUAAAAAGUUUUACAAAUGGAAAAAUUGUUAAAAAAAUAGUAGAUACCUGCAUACAAUAACUUUUUUCCAAGUUAGCCUGACAGGUUCUUGUAUAAUAUUAGCCUGACAGGUUCUUGUAUAAUGUUAGCCUGACAGGUUCUUGUAUAAUGUGUGCUUUAAGACAUUAAGGCUAUUUGGGUUCAUAAAUAGGCUCUUGAUUUUAUAUGAAGAUAUUAUAACAAUGACUGGUAGAGUAAUUGAUGUAGAUUAGUUAAUUAUAACAUAAAUAGGUCUCCUUUAUUUUCCAGAAGAUCAUAUUUAGAAUAUUUUGUGGUGUUUAUUUAUUGUUUUAAAUUUUGAAGAUAAUAGAAAAGCACCCAUUUUUCUGUGAGGAACUUCUGUGAGGUUCUAAUUUUGUAAUAAAUAUUUCCUCCCUUCAAACCCAAUGAAAGCAUAGAUGUAUUUUGCUUAGUUAUUUUGCUGUAUCAGUUAUCUAUAUACAAUGAUACAUAACAACUCCCUUUUCUCUAUAGUUAGUUAAUGAUAUCCUGAGUAUUGUCAAUAAAUACCUACUAACGUUA